GAUGAAGAACGUAGCGAAAUGCGAUAAGUAAUGUGAAUUGCAGAAUUCAGUGAAUCAUCGAAUCUUUGAACGCACAUUGCGCCCGCCAGCACUCUGGCGGGCAUGCCUGUUCGAGCGUCAUUUCAACCAUCAAGCCCCCAGGGGCUUGUGCUGGCCCUGCGGCUGCCCGCAGGCCCUGAAAACCAGUGGCGGGCUCGCUAGUCACACCGAGCGCAGUAGCACAUCUCGCUCAGGGCGUGCGGCGGGCUCCUGCCGUGAAACCCCCCACUGUAACCCCAAAGGUUGACCUCGGAUCAGGUAGGAAUACCCGCUGAACUUAAGCAUAUCAAUAAGCGGAGGA
rnacentral:misc_RNA from 1 species